GUAGGUGGCAAGCGUUGUCCGGAAUUAUUGGGCGUAAAGCGCGCGCAGGCGGUCCUUUAAGUCUGAUGUGAAAGCCCACGGGCUCAACCGUGGAGGGUCAUUGGAAACUGGGGGACUUGAGUACAGAAGAGGUAAGCGGAAUUCCAAGUGUAGCGGUGAAAUGCGUAGAGAUUUGCAGGAACACCAGUGGCGAAGGCGGCUUUCUGGUCUGUAACUGACGCUGAGGCGCGAAAGCGUGGGGAGCAAACAGGAUUAGAUACCCUGGUAGUCCACGCCGUAAACGAUGAGUGCUAAGUGUUAGGGGGUUUCCGCCCCUUAGUGCUGCAGCUAACGCAUUAAGCACUCCGCCUGGGGAGUACGGCCGCAAAGGCUG
rnacentral:rRNA from 1 species